ACCGGCACCCCGAGUGGUCGGGACGAUUAUUGGGCCUAAAGCAUCCGUAGCCGGUUCUGCAAGUCCUCCGUUAAAUCCACCUGCUCAACAGAUGGGCUGCGGAGGAUACCGCAGAGCUAGGAGGCGGGAGAGGCAAACGGUACUCGGUGGGUAGGGGUAAAAUCCAUUGAUCCACUGAAGACCACCAGUGGCGAAGGCGGUUUGCCAGAACGCGCUCGACGGUGAGGGAUGAAAGCUGGGGGAGCAAACCGGA
rnacentral:rRNA from 1 species